AUCUAUGGCCGAGUGGUCUAAGGCGUUGCACUUAAGAUGCAUUGUACGUUCGUACGCGUGGGUUCAAACCCCACUGGAUG
rnacentral:tRNA from 1 species